rnacentral:lncRNA from 1 species
ACAUGGGGACAGGGAACAUGUGUGGGGUGGUGGGGACAGGGGUGGGGACAGGGCACCCAUGUGGGGCGGUGGGGAUGGGGAUGGAGAUGUGGCGCCCAAGUGCGUCGGUGAGGAUGGGGACAUGGCACCCAUAUGGGUUGGUGGGGAUGGCGAUGGGCAUGUGGCACCCAUGUGGGUUGUUGGGGACGGGGAUGGGGACGUGGCACCCAUGUGGGUCAGUGGCAUGGGGACAGGGAUGGGGACGUGGUACCCGUGUGGGUUGGUGGGGACAGGGACAGGGAUGGGGACGUGGCACCCAUGUGGGUCAGCAGCACGGGGACGGGGACUGGGGAUGGGGACACGGCACCCAAAUGUGUCGGUGGGGAUGGGGAUGGGGACAGGGCACCCAUGUGGAUCGGUGGCACGGGGGACAGGGAUGGGGACGUGGCACAUGGGUCAGUGGGGACAGGGAUGGGGACGGGGACAUGGCAUCCCUGUGGGUCGGUGGGGAUGGGGACGGGGAUGGGGACAUGGCACCCACAUGGGUCAGUGGGGACAGGGAUGGGGACGUGGCAUCCGCACGGGCCAGCGGCAUGGGGAUGGGGCACAUAUGUGGGGUGGUGGGGACGGGGAUGGGGAUGGGGAUGGGGAUGGGGACAGGGCACCCAUUUGGAUCGGUAGCAUGGAUACAGGGAUGGGAACACGGCACCCAAGUGGGUCCAUGGGGACAGGGGUGGGGAUGGGGACGUGGCAUCCCUGUGGGUCAGUAGGGAUGGGGACAUGGCACAUGGGUCGGUGGGGACAGGGAUGGGAUGGGGACAUGGCACCCAUGUGGGUCGGCAGCAUGGGGACAAGGAUGGGGACAUGGCACCCAUAUGGGUUGGUGGGGAUGGGGAUGGGGAUG